GUCCUGCUAGGUGUCGUGUCCUGCUAGGUGUCGUGUCCUGCUUGGUGUCGUGUCCUGCUUGGUGUCGUGUCCUGCUUGGGGCCGUGUCCUGCUAGGUAUCGUGUCCUGCUUGGUGCCGUGUCCUGCUAGGUGUCGUGUCCUGCUAGGUGUCGUGUCCUGCUUGGUGUCGUGUCCUGCUAGGUGUCGUGUCCUGCUAGGUGUCGUGUCCUGCUUGGUGUCGUGUCCUGCUUGGCGUCGUGUCCUGCUAGGCGUCGUGUCCUGCUUGGUGUCGUGUCCUGCUAGGCGUCGUGUCCUGCUAG
ensembl:lncRNA